AGAGUUUGAUCAUGGCUCAGGACGAACGCUGACGGUGUGCUUUAGGCAUGCAAGUCGAACGAGAAAGCCCUUCGGGGUGAGUAAAGUGGCGAACGGGUGAGUAACACGUGGGCAACCUGCCCCUCGCAGGGGGACAACCGGAGGAAACUCCGGCUAAUACCCCGUACGCUUGUUGGAUCGCAUGGUCCGGCAAGGAAAGGUAGCUUCGGCCAUCCGGCGAGGGAUGGGCCCGCGUUGCAUUAGCUAGUUGGUGGGGUAACGGCCUACCAAGGCGACGAUGCGUAGCUGGKCUGAGAGGAUGAUCAGCCACACUGGGACUGAGACACGGCCCAGACUCCUACGGGAAGCAGCAGCCAGGAAUCUUGGGCAAUGGGCGAAAGCCUGACCCAGCAACACCGUGUGGGCGAUGAAGGCCUUAGGGUCGUAAAGCCCUGUUGAUAGGGACGAAGGGCGAAGGGUUAAUAGCCCCUAGCUUGACGGUACCUUUCGAGGAAGCCCCGGCUAACUACGUGCCAGCAGCCGCGGUAAUACGUAGGGGGCGAGCGUUGUCCGGAAUUAUUGGGCGUAAAGAGCGUGUAGGCGGUUCGGUAAGUCUGCUGUGAAAUCCUGGGGCUCAACCCCGGGCGUGCAGCGGAUACUGCCGGGCUAGAGGGUGGUAGAGGCGAGUGGAAUUCCCGGUGUAGCGGUGAAAUGCGCAGAUAUCGGGAGGAACACCAGUAGCGAAGGCGGCUCGCUGGGCCACACCUGACGCUGAGACGCGAAAGCGUGGGGAGCGAACAGGAUUAGAUACCCCAGUAGUCC
rnacentral:rRNA from 1 species